GGGGUGACUUGCAAAGCUAUAUGAGUUUUGAACUUUGUUAGCUCCACCAAUGCUAUCUAGGUCAACUUUAUAUGAUUAAGUUUUUACUAUAAUCCCAUGUAUCUUGUGCUUUGCAUUUUAAAGCCAUCCUUUUUUUUCUUUCUGUGCAUCACAUGAUGGGCUUCCAAAUUCUGUAUUUCUGUGAUCAUACAACCAUGGGAAUUCGAAAACUUGUCAAUUGUAUUAUUUUUGCCUUGCUUCAGCCAUGUAUGUGAGAAGAUGUUCACUGACAGUUGUGUUUUUUUGUGCUAUUUACAUGGUGGGCUUUCAUAACUGUGCAGAAGAUGCCAACUAUACAGCUGUGGAAAGACGGCAAGAAACAAGCUGAGGUGAUCGGUGGUCACAAAGCAUAUUUAGUCGUUAAUGAAGUUCGUGAGAUGAUUGAAAAUGAGGAUGACACGUGAGGUUUGGUAACAUGGACAAUCUUAUCAUUCACAGAUUCAUUAAAACGAAAAAUCAAAGUUGUAAAUUUUUUUUCCUUCAUAAAUAUAUAAAUAUACCAGAUUUAGGGUAGAGAAUAAAUUGACAACUGGUUCUUUUGUUUUCAGUAAGAGGUAUCCCUGGCUUAGCCAAAUACAAAUCCCCUAUUAGCUGCAUAACCAUGACUUUUCCCCUCCUUGUGUG